UUUCGUUACAAAAAAGAAAAAAAAACUACUCUAACCUAUCUAACUUCAAAAUUAGACCGUUUAUCGAAAUAAUUUCGUUCCGAAAAAUAAUUCCUACCCUAUCUAACUUCAAAAUGACUGCUCUUAAUCUAAAGGCUAGCCUUUAUAUUUAUAGUGCGUUUGUAUAAAAAUUACAAUUGCAUAUAUAUCACUAGCCUUCUUGUGCCCAUUUUGCUGGGCGUCAAAAAGUCAAAAAAUCAAAUUAGCAAAAAUAAUAACUGCAAACUAUGCGCAUUCAAAUUACAAUAUGCUGUCAACAGUAAUUCUAUCUAAUUAUGUGUUAAUUUGCAAAAUAAAAAAAACACGACUUCAAUUACAUUCACAAGUAAUACAAUGUAACAAAA
rnacentral:misc_RNA from 1 species